rnacentral:rRNA from 1 species
UGACUAGAGUGUGUCAGAGGGAGGUAGAAUUCCACGUGUAGCAGUGAAAUGCGUAGAGAUGUGGAGGAAUACCGAUGGCGAAGGCAGCCUCCUGGGAUAACACUGACGUUCAUGCUCGAAAGCGUGGGUAGCAAACAGGAUUAGAUACCCUGGUAGUCCACGCCCUAAACGAUGUCAAUUAGCUGUUGGGCAACUUGAUUGCUUAGUAGCGUAGCUAACGCGUGAAAUUGACCGCCUGGGGAGUACGGUCGCAAGAUUAAAACUCAAAGGAAUUGACGGGGACCCGCACAAGCGGUGGAUGAUGUGGAUUAAUUCGAUGCAACGCGAAGAACCUUACCUGGUCUUGACAU